CUUCACUGCCGCAUAAGCAGCUUAGAAA
rnacentral:other from 1 species